GCUUCUUGGCAUUGAAGCACUAUCCCUUGGGCUAAUAGAUGAAUAAUGCGAGUCAUACGCCCCAUAUCUGUAAGAAUAGCCUGACAACGAGGGGCUAGUUCCAGGAUCGCAACCAGGAGGUCCAUCAUCUUCAAAAUCCCUAGACCAACGUCGCUCAUGAUAAUGCCCUCUAUUGAUAGGGUCUGGUGUAUGGUUAUAUCGAUUGUGUGAAUGACUUCUUGAAAGAUUCGAACUCGAAGAUCCAGGUCGCUCAUGAUAAUGCCCUCUGUUGAUAGGGUCUGGUGUAUGGUUAUAUCGAUUGUGUGAAUGACUUCUUGAAAGAUUCGAACUCGAAGAUCCAGGCGCCCAACGUCUUUCAUCAGCAUGUUCAGGUAUUGGCGCAUUUACACCAGGAAAAUCAACACUCAUCUUCCUAGGCGGAUUAAGGAAGCUUUUAUCAAGAAUUUCCCCUUCCUCUGUUUCUUCCUUCUUUUCCUCAUCU
rnacentral:lncRNA from 1 species